UUCACACACACACACACACACACACACACACGGAGUGCUGCAUCUGGUUGCGACUGAUAAGAGGAGUUCUCCUCCCCUCGGGGAAUCAAGCAGAAGGAAAACACGAAGGAUGCGGAGUGAGAGGUCGGAGCGCAGGGGGUGAACGAGGGGACCGCUCGGUGUUUGACGGUCGGAAAGUUGAAGCGUCCCCGUCAUCGCUCACAGUCCCACUAUAGGGUUUUGUCCUUGGUCUGCCCUUCAGAAGCCAUGACAGGAACUCGAAGCUUGUGCUGCAACCUUUGACGUUUUUGUCUGAAUCACACGUGGGUGUCUUACGUAUGUCUGACGACCGCCAACCCGCCGACGUCAGCUGACAAAAGGCUGCUCCUCUCUGCCCCCCCCCCCCACACACGAUUCCUGUCAAGCUAUGCAAAUCUGGUAUGUAAGCCCCGAGUGUGCUUGGCGGGGGAGUAAAGCUCUUGGCCAAUCAGAAGCAAAGCUCUGAGGCAGGAAUUUGCAUGAAUCUACAUGGCUAAUGUACUGUGCAAAUUGAAGGAGUGACACUGUGACUUCACCUUUCCUCAGCGCUAACACAACGCGGCAACUGACCUCGAACGAAAGACGCAAUCGCCCGCUAAAUCCGUCCAUUCGCCAUCCAGUCGGACUGGGAGGGAGAAAAACAAAGUGCAUUUGUUUGUGUAAUUGCCCAUGAGCAGCAAGAGAUGGCGGGAGGAGCCGAACGAGAGGGGUGAAUAAACAGAGGAGAUGGAUGAGUCCAUUAAAGCAGCGGUUAAUCCAGGCUAUUAGGGAGCAGUGUGAAGGAGUGUGUGAGAAGAGGAUACAUACGUUGGCUUAAUGGCGCUAAACACAGACCUAAACGGAGCAGAGGAGCGUUAGAUUAUUAUAAACGCACCCAGGGUGUCGCUAUCGGAGUUAUGGGCCUCCUGCACCCGAGACGACUGAACCCUCCCCAAACCCUCCUCUUUGGCAUGGAGCCAAACAUCUACAUCUGACGACUCAGACGCACCUUCACACGUUCAUCGGCGAUGGGUUAUCACACACACGUUAUAUCCGUUUUGGCUGUUUUUUUACAUCGACGGGGGAUCAUGCCGGGAUAUAGAAGGAUACAGCCAACAUGUUAUUGAAUGGCGUUGACCUUUCUGUGGGAACGCGCUUUAAAGGCUCCGUGCUUCACUGUAUUCACGCCGUAGCUUCUCUCCCCUUCGCCUUGGCGUCGCAGCAUUUUACCGUAAUGUACACGUUUCAAUGGAUGUCGUUGCGUUGUUCAAUCGGCCCGUGUUCUCCUCGAGUCAGUCCGCAGACGUCCCUUGAGCCUCCAGCGCUUUUGUUGUGCGCGGGGCUCCGAGAAAAUGAAUAGUUUACUUUGAGGGUUGAUUUUCAUCGGGAGUUCUUUUCAAAGCCGUCCGGCCCUUCUGUGGUGAGGAGAUGGAGGACAGAUAAUAAUCUAUGGAAAUGUGAAUUUAAAAAACAUAUUUUUGACGAAGGCCACACUUCUGCAUUUAUAGCUGGGAAUUCAAUUAUGUUCUCCAGAUAUGUUUUAUGACUUACUCUUCCAGGAAUAAUCAAUCGUGUCUGAUUGGAUAUAAAUGUGGAACUGCUGGACCCAAGAUGUCUCCUGAAAGGUUUCACUAGCUGCUCUGCACUGGCUCCCAGUAAAAUCAAGAAUCACUUUUAAAAUUCUUCUCUUAACCUACAAAGCCUUGAUUGGUGAUGCUCCAUCAUAUCUUAAGGAGCUUGUAGUACCAUAUUGCCCCACUAGAGAGCUACGCUCACUAAAUGCGGGACUACUUGUAGUUCCUAGAGUCUUAAAAAGUAGAAUGGGAGCCAGAGCCUUUAGUUAUCAAGCUCCUCUUUUAUGGAACCAGCUUCCAAUUUCAGUCCGGGAGGCAGACACAGUCACCUCGUUUAAGAGUAGACUUAAGACCUUCCUCUUUGACAGAGCUUAUAGUUAGGGCUGAAUCAGGUUCACCUGGUCCAGCCCCUUGAUAUGCUGCUAUAGGCUUAUAGCUGCCGGGGGACGUUUUAGGAUGCACUGAGUACCUAUCUCCUCUUUUUUCUCUCCUUAAGGAUGAAUGUUCAUCUCUCAAUCACAUGUUACUAACUCUGCUUUCUCCCCGGAGUCCUUUUGACUUCACGUCUCAUGGGGUCAUCGGACCCUAUGAGACGGCAUAGAUCCUAUCUGCCUGAUGGAUCAUCGAGGUCUGGGUCGUGGAAUUCCUGCUCAUGACUACGCCACUGUCCUGUUGAGACUCCGCCCACUGUUGAGACUCCGCCCACUCCUCCUCCCCACCGCCAUCUGCCUGAUGGAUCGUGGAGGUCUCCAUCGUGGAAUAUGUCUACUAUGAACUAUUCAUACACUCUGUCAUAUUCAUUGAAUGUAUUUUAACUCUAAAUCUGUCCUUCUGUACACAUUACAUCUAUUGCAUCUGUCCAUCCUGGAGAGGGAUCCUCCUCUGUUGCUCUCCUGCAGGUUUCUUCUCUUUUUUUCCCCCUGAAGGGUUAUUUGGGAGUUUUUCCUGGUCCGAUGUGAGGUUUUGGGGCAGGGAUGUCUAUGUGUACAGAUUGUAAAGCACUCCGAGACAAAUUUGUAAUUUGUGAAAUUGGGCUAUACAAAUAAACUGAAUUGAAUUGAAUUGGCUCCAGACUGUGGCGUCACAAAAUCAUGCUAUUCCUAAACACGUCUUAAAGAUUAUAAGGUAAUACCAGACUCAGCAGGUGAACGUGAAUAAAGCUUUUCAGUGAACAAUAGGGAUCGUUUUCAUGCGUUUCCUCUCCUGUCCCAAGGCUCACAGUGAUGACCUCACUACGAUGACCUCACGACGACGAGCCUCCUCUUUCUUCUCGGCCCUUCAAGGUGCGGCAAGUCGUCGCUUCUCACUCGCUGAAGGUCGAGAUCAACAUCGAGGGCCUUGGCAGAGUCAAACACUCAUUCCUUGAGGGGAGAAUCCUGCUGACGGGGCGGCGGCGGUCCUGAAGAGGCAGGAAGCUCAAGCCAAGAUUGGAGGAGCGGGCGGGUCACGGCUCACGCCGGGCCAAUCGGAGAGCGGCGUGUCGCAGUUGUCGUCGUAGCGAUGAGCCCACGCUGUCAGAGCCGGAGGGUUUGAGAAGCAGAGUGAGAGGGGGGCACGGUAAACAUCUAGGACACACACACACAUGACGACGCAGACAAACACACACACACACACACACACUAACAAUAGUGGACAAGCCUUCGCUUCCCAUUAAGUUCAGUGCUGCCCUGAGGAUGGGGUAAAAAUACUUCACCACAAAGAGAGGGGCCAAAACAGCGAGUGUAUGUAUGUGUGUGUGUGUGUGUGUGUGUGUGUGUGGGGCGGUGCUCGUCAGUGUACCCUCACCUGACACUGAUUAUCCUCUGAAAAUAAUUAUCUUAAUUGAAAGAAACGUCAUGAUGGUUCCAAUUGAAAUAAAAAAAGAAGAAAAAGGGCAUUCUCAUUUCAGAAAAUAGAGUUAGACAUUUUCCCUGCAGCAAAAAGGAUGAAGCAAAACAAAAAAGAAGGUAUGGAGGUUUACUCUAUCUAGGACACGUGUGGGCGUUUAAACCCUUGAAAAGGCAGCUUGUUUCUGAAUAGCCCCCUUGACUACCAUUAGCAUCACACUGCCGAUGCAUCGUGAGCUGAGAGGCGCAGCGCGGAGGGUCUGGCGGCGUUACACACACGGUUACAACCGUCUCUCAUGUGCACAAAAUGUGAAAACCAAAUCAAUUCCUGCAAACAGUUUCCCCCCUAAAAGCUACACACGGGGAGACAGACGGAAAGGCAAAGACAUCGGCGUGACGUCAGGUUUUUGUAGUCUCGGCUUAUUUUAUCUUAUUUAUUCUCGUGUUUAGUGACGGCCUUUUAAAAAAAAAGACGCGAACACUCACUAGAGGGGUUCAUGACGUCGUGUAUGAACUUUCAGUUCAUGUGUGAAACAGAGACCUUGUUUCAGGUAUCAAACUAAAAACAAUA